rfam:Ciona savignyi cont_32230, whole genome shotgun sequence.
GUAUUGGUGGUUCAAGUGGUAGAAUCCUCGCCUGCCACGCGGGGGGCCCGGGUUCGAUUCCCGGCCAAUGCA